rnacentral:rRNA from 1 species
CGGACGGGUGAGUAACGCGUGGAAAACCUGCCGUAUACUGGGGAUAACACUUAGAAAUAGGUGCUAAUACCGCAUAAGCGCACAGCUUCGCAUGAAGCGGUGUGAAAAACUCUGGUGGUAUACGAUGGUUCCGCGUCUGAUUAGCUAGUUGGUGGGGUAAUGGCCUACCAAGGCAACGAUCAGUAGCCGGCCUGAGAGGGUGAACGGCCACAUUGGGACUGAGACACGGCCCAAACUCCUACGGAAGGCAGCAG